rnacentral:lncRNA from 1 species
UUUGCCUUCCCUCCAUUGCCAACACCUACAACACCAUCAAACAAAGUCACAAACACAAAAAAAAAAAUAGCAAGUAAAAAAAUAACAAUCAAAUAAAGAAAAGAGAAGAGAGGAAAAGGAAGAGUGGAAGAGAAGAGCCCGUCCUUAGCCACCGAAGACGGAGGAGAUCGGCGCAAGAACGGAGGCUGCGUGGGGCUAAG